rnacentral:rRNA from 1 species
AUUGAACGCUGGCGGCAUGCUUUACACAUGCAAGUCGAACGGUAACAGGCCGCAAGGUGCUGACGAGUGGCGAACGGGUGAGUAAUGCAUCGGAACGUGCCCAGUCGUGGGGGAUAACGCAGCGAAAGCUGCGCUAAUACCGCAUACGAUCUAUGGAUGAAAGCGGGGGACCGUAAGGCCUCGCGCGAUUGGAGCGGCCGAUGUCAGAUUAGGUAGUUGGUGGGGUAAAGGCCCACCAAGCCAACGAGCUGUAGCUGGUCUGAGAGGACGACCAGCCACACGGGGACUGAGGCACGGCCCAGAAUCCUACGGGAGGCAGCAGUGGGGAAUUUUGGACAAUGGGCGCAAGCCUGAUCCAGCAAUGCCGCGUGCAGGAAGAAGGCCUUCGGGUUGUAAACUGCUUUUGUACGGAACGAAACGGUCCUGGUUAAUACCUGGGGCUAAUGACGGUACCGUAAGAAUAAGCACCGGCUAACUACGUGCCAGCCGCCGCCGUAAGAC